rnacentral:lncRNA from 1 species
GUGUUCUGUCACAAGGUGUUGAUUUGUAGUGGGUUCCGGAAGUUAAUGCAGAUCAGGAAAGCGUUUUCUUUUCUUCUUUUAAUUUUAUCGCCGCACAGUUUGCAGCAGUCUUCUCAAAAAGGUCGUUAGACGUCAUAUCAGUCUCGGACCAGGGUUGCCGUUCCGAGUUGAGUUAAUUUCCAUUUUAUAUUUUGAAAAAGAACUUUCUUCUGGUUUUUAAGGUAUUUUAGGUAACAGUUAUU